rnacentral:lncRNA from 1 species
GGGUAUAGGAAAUGUUCAUAUAUACUGAAGUUAAAGGUCGCUGUUGUUGGUUUGUGAGCACAUUUAAUCACUUGAUAUCAUACAUUCAACUCUUGUAUAUCAUUGGCUUUCAAAUAUUCGGCUUUGAGCGUUCGUGGUAAAUGUAAAUCUAGGAAAAACGCUUCGGACGCUUAAAAUAUAUAUUCCAAACUUUACGUUGUCGUUACAUUUCCAACUUAUCUUUAUCACUUGUUCCUGUGUUGUGAUGGUGAUGAUGCAAUUCUGCCCCACGUUUUGUAAGAUUGGACGUGCGCCACAAUAUUUUGCAUACAAAUGUAUUUUUA